rnacentral:rRNA from 1 species
AGUGAACGCUGGCGGUAGGCCUAACACAUGCAAGUCGAACGGCAGCACAGGAGAGCUUGCUCUCUGGGUGGCGAGUGGCGGACGGGUGAGGAAUACAUCGGAAUCUACUCUGUCGUGGGGGAUAACGUAGGGAAACUUACGCUAAUACCGCAUACGACCUACGGGUGAAAGCAGGGGACCUUCGGGCCUUGCGCGAUUGAAUGAGCCGAUGUAGGAUUAGCUAGUUGGCGGGGUAAAGGCCCACCACGGCGACGAUCCGUAGCUGGUCUGAGAGGAUGAUCAGCCACACUGGAACUGAGACACGGUCCAGACUCCUACGGGAGGCAGCAGUGGGGAAUAUUGGACAAUGGGCGCAAGCCUGAUCCAGCCAUACCGCGUGUGUGAAGAAGGCCUUCGGGUUGUAAAGCCCUUUUGUUGGGAAGGAAAUCCAGCUGGCUAAUACCCGGUUGGGAUGACGGUACCCAAAGAAUAAGCACUGGCUAACUUCGUGCCAGCCGCCGCGGUAA